UACGGUGGGAGCUAGCGUUGUUCGGAAUUACUGGGCGUAAAGCGCACGUAGGCGGCCGUUCAAGUCAGAGGUGAAAGCACGGGGCUCAACCCCGGAAUAGCCUUUGAAACUAGAUGGCUUGAAUCUUGGAGAGGUCAGUGGAAGUCCGAGUGUAGAGGUGAAAUUCGUAGAUAUUCGGAAGAACACCAGUAGCGAAGGCGACUGACUGGACAAGUAUUGACGCUGAGGUGCGAAAGCGUGGGGAGCAAACAGG
rnacentral:rRNA from 1 species